GAUGAACGCUGGCGGCGUGCCUAAUACAUGCAAGUCGAGCGAACGGACGAGAAGCUUGCUUCUCUGAUGUUAGCGGCGGACGGGUGAGUAACACGUGGAUAACCUACCUAUAAGACUGGGAUAACUUCGGGAAACCGUAGCUAAUACCGGAUAAUAUUUUGAACCGCAUGGUUCAAAAGUGAAAGACGGUCUUGCUGUCACUUAUAGACGGAUCCGCGCUGCAUUAGCUAGUUGGUAAGGUAACGGCUUACCAAGGCAACGAUGCAUAGCCGACCUGAGAGGUUGAUCGGCCACACUGGAACUGAGACACGGUCCAGACUCCUACGGGAGGCAGCAGUAGGGAAUCUUCCGCAAUGGGCGAAAGCCUGACGGAGCAACGCCGCGUGAGUGAUGAAGGUCUUCGGAUCGUAAAACUCUGUUAUUAGGGAAGAACAUAUGUGUAAGUAACUGUGCACAUCUUGACGGUACCUAAUCAGAAAGCCACGGCUAACUACGUG
rnacentral:rRNA from 1 species